rnacentral:rRNA from 1 species
UUGUUAUAACAUCAAAAAAUAUAAAAAAAGUAUUUCAAAGGGGUUAUUAAGGAUAACAUAGCAAAUUUAUAAAAAAGGAGGUAUUAUACCAAAAGCUUCAACUUAAUUAAUUAAUUUAAUUAUACCAUUAAUUGGGGCGAUCCUAAGGGAAACCUUUUUAUUAUAACUUCCCGAAGUAAAACAUUUCAGUAGGGAAAGGAAAGGAAAUCAACCGAGACUCCGAAAGUAAUGGUGAGUGAAAUCGGACUAGCCUAAUUUACUUUAUAAAUUGAAGAUUAAGACAAUAUCGGAGGCGGCAAUUCGGAAUUAUGCUUCCUAAUAGAUUAAAAGCCAAAUAUUGAGUCUAGUCAGCAUUAUUUUUAAAUAUAAUAAUUUAUUUAUUUAAUUUAUAAAAAUUGUACUAAAGAAGGUAAAAAACAUUGAGUCCUGUAGAUUUAUAAAGUAAUAAAUUUAUAAUUAAUUAAAACAAAACAAUUUUUAAUUAUAAUUAUUUAGCAUAAAACUUAAAUUUAAGUGUAAUGCGAAUUAUUCAAUUUAUGACUUAAAUUGAUGAUUUAAGAAUAUUUAAUUAAUAAUUAAUAAAAAUAUUCCUAAGAAUAAAUAUAAAUAAAAAUAUUUAAUUAAUUAUAACAAAUAAAAAAGUACGAUGAGAGAAAACUUGUCGGAAUAUAGGGGGACCAUCCUCUAAGGCUAAGUAUUAUAAAUUUAGCGAUAGUGAAAAAGUACUGUAAAGGAAAUUGUUUGAAAAGCGUGUAUAUUUGACAGAACACUUCUAAUUUAAUUUAAUUAAUUUUAAUUUAUCUUUGAUAUGUUUUAAUUAAUUAAGUUAGAAAAGAUUUGGGUGAAAUAACUUGAAUUAGUAACUCUAUAAGCAGUCGAAAUUCUAUUCUCAAAUGAGAAAAUAAAGAAUAACGGCGUACCUUUUGCAUAAUGGGUCAGCAAGUUAAUAGGAGUAGCAAGGUUUAAAGCCCUAGCGAAAGCGACUGGACCAUAAAAUUUUUAUUAAUUAAGAUAAAUCAAAAUAAGUUUAGGCUUACUCGAGCUUAAAUAGUAUUUUAUUUUGAUUAUGGUGAAUAUUAUUUAUUAUCUAAUAUUUAUUUCUUAAAAUUUAAUUAAUUCUUAAGGUUAAAACUAAAGAAAUAAUAAAAAUUAUGUAAGCUAAUUAAUAAGAUUUACAAAUGGUGAUGGAUAAGUUACUUCUAUUAGACCCGAAGCUAGGUGAUCUUUCUAAGACCAGAUUAUAAUGGAUCGAACGGGUGAAUGUUGCAUUAUUCUCCGAAGAGUCUUUGAAAGCGGUGAAAUGCCAAUCUGACCUAGUGAUAGCUGGUUUUCUACGAAACAUAUUUAAGUAUGACAUCUACACAAAAUUUAUGGAGGUACAGCACGGCAAUUCCCAACAAGUUUUAGAUAAAGAUUAAUAAAUAUAAUUUAUUUUUACUAUUAGGCGUUUAGGUUGCGGGGACCUCGAAAAUCUUACCUAUGGAAGCGAAUCUCGGAAGUACAUAAAUUGAUGGUAGAUAUUCAGACUACUCAUGCUAAGUUGGGUAGUCAAGACGGAAACAGCCGAGAACACAGAUCAAGGUCCCAAAUGAUUAUUAAGUGAAAUUAAGGAUGUAGCCAAUCGUAUACAGCUGUGAAGUGAGCCUGGUAGUCGCUACUUAUAAUGACCGUUUGUAACAACGCAUCAGCAGUUAGAUCGUAGCGCCGAAAAUUUAACGGGUCUUAAGUAAUCAACCGAUAUCGUGUUAAUUUUAAAUAAAAAAGUUUUAUUUAUGAUUAGUAAUAUAAUAAAUAAAAAAACAUAAUUAAUAAUUAAUAAAAUAAUAUUAUUUUAUGUUUGGUUUACCUUUUUUAUUUUUAAUUUAGGUAGUAGAACAUUCAGUCAAACCAUUAAUAAAACAGUGUUUCAUUGUUUUUAGGUGACUGAAGAGAGAAUGCUGACAUGAGUAACGUAAAAAGAAGUUAUAAUACUUCUCGCCGAAUACGAAAGGGUUAUAAGGAUAGGUUAAACCGCCUUAUGUAAUUGCAGCCUCUAAGGAGUAAAACCAAAGUUUUAUCUGAUGAGUUCGUAACUGAAAGUCUAUAAAAUAGACCAGGAAAUACAAGUUAUACAUAUGUAAUUUACUCUCUAAUAAUCUACUUGUUAAAUUUUAAUUUUGUUUUAUUUGUUUUAAUAAACAGAGCCUAAAAUUAUUUAAUUUUCUAUUUAUCUAUCUGGUAAUUGAUAUUUGUUUUUUAAUAUUUUUAGGUAAUUAUUAUAAAUAAGAAUAAAUUAUCAAAAAUAUAGAACAAAGAUUAUAUUUUUUUCCUUAGUAUUUUAUUAAAACUUUAUAGUAAUAAUUUAAUAUUAAAUAUGAAUUAAUUUAAUCUGAUAUUUAUUAAAUAUUAAGUCAUAAAUUAAUAUCAAUUUGUUUCUUUUUAACUUAUAAAGUAUAAUUAUUAUUGAUUUCUAAAUUAUAAUAUAGCUACUGUACCCUAAACCGACACAGGUUCGUAGGUAGAGAAUACUAAGGCGUAGAGCUAAAAGUUGUAAAGGAACUCGGCAAAUUCACCUCAUAAGUUUGACAAUAAGAGGUACCGUUAUAGAUAAGAUAGUUAUUAUCUACCAGAAGAUAAUAAGAUAAUUUUAAUUUUUUAACGGUGGCACAGAAUCGGAAGCCCCGACUGUUUACUAAAAACACAGAUCGCUGCAAUGAUUAAUAUCAUAGUAUAGCGGUCGAAAUUUGCCCGAUGCCAUUAAUAUAAGAGAGGUUAUGGGAAACUGUGAUUAAUCGAAAGUCUGGUUAAUAGCGGUCUUAACUAUGAGGAUCCUAAGGUAGCAAAAUAAAUUGGCCAUUAAAUGUGGUCCGGUAUCAAUAAUUUAACGAUGGCUUCACUGUCUCUACAACUUGCUCAGUGAAAUUGAAUUACCCGUGCAGAUGCGGGUUACCUCCAGGGGGACGGGAAGACCCUAUGCAGCUUUACUGUAGUUAGUUAUCACAUUGAUCUACAACAACUCUGGUUAAUAGUGAUUAGGGAAGUCGAUAGACAAAAAGUGGAAUACCUUAAGACUAGGGUUGGGUUGAUGUUUACCUUAUAAAUAAAUUAAUUAUAAUUAAUUAAGAAAAAAAAGGGAGAGUUGACUAAUUGGCAGUUUGACUGGGGCGGUCGUCUUUAAUAGAGUAGCAAAGUACAUCCAAAUAUUUAAAAAAACAAAACUUAAAAUAUCAUUUAUAUUAUUUUAUUUUAAUAAUUUAUUAUUUAAUUUAAUAUUAUGAUAUUAAUACAAAAAACCAAAUUAAAUUGGUAAUAAUUAUUUAACAAUCUAACUAAAAAUAAAAAUUAAAAAAGGUAUAGCUAGAAAUUGAAUGGAGAUCAAUUAACCAGUGAACGGUUAUGUAGGGCGCAAUGGCGGUAAGCAUGCUUAACUGAAAGACUUAGAAGUCGCACAGAUACGUAAGUAGGGCAUAGUGACCCCUCGCUAUAUUAUGGAAUAGACGGGGAUCAAUCGAUAAAAGUUACGCUAGGGAUAACAGGUUAAUAGCCGACGAGAGUACACAUUGUCUCGGCUGUUUGACACCUCGAUGUCGACUCAUCCUAUCCUCCGGGGGAAGAAGCUUGGAAGGGUUCGGCUGUUCGCCGAUUAAAAGGGUACGUGAGUUGGGUUUAAUACGACGUGAGUCAGUAUUGACCCUAUCUUCUGGAGGAAAAAAUAGUAAACAAGGGCAGACCUUCUAGUACGAAAGGAUCAAUAGGCUGUGUUUCUCUAGUGUACCAAUUGUUCAAAGUUGCACUCAUUUAUAUUUUAAUCUUGGAUAAUUAUAUGAAUGAUAUUCUUAAUGAAACUUGCAGAUAAAACUAAAGGAAUAUUAAGAAUUAUUAGUUGCAUUAAUAAGGCAUAGUUGGGUAGCCACAAACAUAAUAGAUAAAUGCUGAAUGAAUAUCAAGCAAGAAUCUAACCCUUAGAUACUAUAAUCGGAUACAAUCUUUUUUUUAUUUAUUAAAAUAUUAUAUAUUAUAAUUUUUAAAUUAUAGUUAAUUCCAGUAUUAUUUAAUAGAUUUAUAUUUAUUAAAUUA